GCGCACGGGUGCGUAACGCGUAUGCAACCUACCUUAAUCUGGGGGAUAGCCCGGAGAAAUCCGGAUUAAUACCGCAUAAAAUCACAGGAUGGCAUUAUCCAAUGAUCAAACAUUUAUGGGAUUGAGAUGGGCAUGCGUGUCAUUAGCUAGUUGGCGGGGUAACGGCCCACCAAGGCGACGAUGACUAGGGGAUCUGAGAGGAUGGCCCCCCACACUGGUACUGAGACACGGACCAGACUCCUACGGGAGGCAGCAGUAAGGAAUAUUGGUCAAUGGAGGCAACUCUGAACCAGCCAUGCCGCGUGCAGGAAGACUGCCCUAUGGGUUGUAAACUGCUUUUAUCCGGGAAUAAACCUUUCUACGUGUAGAAAGCUGAAUGUACCGGAAGAAUAAGGAUCGGCUAACUCCGUGCCAGCAGCCGCGGUAAUACGGAGGAUCCAAGCGUUAUCCGGAUUUAUUGGGUUUAAAGGGUGCGUAGGCGGCCUGUUAAGUCAGGGGUGAAAGACGGUAGCUCAACUAUCGCAGUGCCCUUGAUACUGAUGGGCUUGAAUGGACUAGAGGUAGGCGGAAUGAGACAAGUAGCGGUGAAAUGCAUAGAUAUGUCUCAGAACACCGAUUGCGAAGGCAGCUUACUAUGGUCUUAUUGACGCUGAGGCACGAAAGCGUGGGGAUCAGACAGGAUUAGAUACCCUGGUAGUCCACGCCCUAAACGAUGAACACUCGCUGUUGGCGAUACACAGUCAGCGGCUAAG
rnacentral:rRNA from 1 species